rnacentral:miRNA from 1 species
CAGCGCUGGGCUGGGCUGGGCUGGGCUGGACUGUGAAAUGUGAGCCGAUGGGAGGAGGCACCCACCUUCCUCGUCCUUUCUUUCGUCCCAGCU